GAUACAAACCAUAUAGCUGCGGAGGAAAACAAAGUGUUAGUACUUACUUCUUACUUGAUACUCGUGAAGGUGUUUAACCAAUGUAUUUAAAAUUACUAAAGGACGUACGGAUUACCAUGAUAUACUGUCCGAAUAUCAUGGGAAUCGUCAAAGCGUUAAUUAGUGUACCUAAUACCUAUCAUCGUAGGAAUUGCAUUGCCGUCAGGCCAACAAACUAGAUCCAAAAGAGUUCCUUCUUCACUUCGAAUUGCUUCAGAUGUGUUGAUUAACCAAAUCAAGUAAAAUAUAACAACGGGCAUGCAGGCCAUUAACAGCAUACGAAUGUUAUUAAAUGUAGACCAAGUCA